GAGCUUUGGCCCAUAUUCCAUGAGUUACGCUCGGCAACCACCUUCAACCUCGGAAACUCUUGCUACCUACUAGUAGGCACAAAAAAGACCAAACCUCCCGAAAUAAUCAAUGGAUUUUCUUGUGAUCCGUGGACCAAGGCAACUCAUAUCAUUGGCUUAAAGGAGGAGCUGCGAUUGAGAGAACAAAGGGCCCUUAGCUACAAGCUAGCGCAUGGUAACUAGCUGACAGGGAACUCUGUGGUUGAAGGGAGCUGCCCAGGAGUUAGCUCCCAUUAGCCUAUGUCCGAUAUUGGAGGGCGCAAUUCAGAUGACUUUGAAGUACUCUUGGCUCUGUUGUCAGUGUGUGUCC
rnacentral:sRNA from 1 species